UGGGAUUCUCCAGGCAAGAACACUGGAGUGGGUUGCCAUUUCCUUCUCCAAUGCAUGAAAGUGAAAAGUGAAAGGGAAGUCGCCCAGUCGUGCCUGACUCUUAGCGACCCCAUGGACUGCAGCCCACCAGGCUCCUCCGUCCAUGGGACUUUCCAGGCAAGAGUACUGGCACCUGUUUUAUUUUUCUUCAACAACUUUUAUUAUAUACUGAUUUAUUUGUCAUCAGUCAUCCAUGGGAAUAUAAACACCUUGAGCAAAGAGCUUGUCUUUUUAAAAUUUUGUUUCUUUAUUUUUAGUUGAAGGAUUGGUUUCUGCCAUACAUCAACAUGGCUUAGCCAUAGUUAUACAUAUAUCCCCUCUCUCUUGAGCCUCCUUCCCACCUCACACCCAAUCCCACCCCUCUAGGUUGUCACAGAGUCUUCUUGACCACUGUAUCCCUGAGGGUCUGCAACAGAUCCUGGCCCAUAGCAGGCACUCAAGAAUCAGGACAAAUUGUGGCGCGACAACCCCCAGCCCGCCUGAGACAUCUGCCAUUCCCCCCUGGUUCCCUUGCCUUUCUCUGUCCUCUUUGCCUUCCUCCCUGCUUCUCUGUGUGUCUCUCUGUCUCCUCUGCUCCAGUCACUCUCCUCUCUGCCUGCCUCCCUCCUCUUCCUCUUUUUGGAAUCUCUUUCCUAUUCUCUCCCUUCCUCUUGCUUCCCUCGGUUUCUUCCGUGGGUCUUGGACCUAGCAGGUCCCUCUUAUCCAUUCAGCCCUUACCUUCUGCUUGGAUGUUUAUUGGGGAGGAUGUAGGGCCCAGGGAGAGAGCUCCAGAUAAGAAGGACUGAGCCAAUGACAUCUGUGGAUCUGUCAGAUGGGUACAGCUCUAACUUUGGACACGCAUUUGGUCAAGGGAUCCUUGAAAGUAAAGAUUCACUUGGAGUUGGUCGAGUCGGCAUUUUGGAAACAAUCAAGUAGAUCUGAAGCCUUGCUCCAAGUGGGGAGACGAGAGCUGGGGAGGGAGAAAACCAGACCAGAGCCCUGCCUUCCAGAACUUCCUGGUCUCAUUAGCCAAGGACGUAAGGGGCAUACAAGGUCUUCUAGGAAGUAGUAGGGGAACAAAGAUAGGCAGAAGGAGAGGUGCAGGCAGAGAGCUCUAGAAGGGAUCAGUCAUUGUUAACUUUGGGGCGAGCGGUCUGUGUGUGAACAGUAGCAGCCAGAUAGAAGAGGAGAUCCAGGCUCCAGCUGCAAAAGGGGAAAGCAGUUCAUCUGUGACGCAGGCCACCAGGGCCACCGGGGCCGUGCUUGGCUGGGGAGCCUCUCCUGUCAAACCCUGUCCUGGCUCCCUCCCUGUCUCCACCAGGACUGAGGGAAGAGCCUGAUUCAAAGCCUGCAGGUCCCCCAGAGCACAGAACUGGAGCUGAAAAUCUUGAUGAGUAAAACCUGCAGCAUCUCACCACUUGCCCUGCUGCUUGGGAAAUCAUUCAUAUUAGCAUGCGAGGUUCUGGGAGCUGAGUGGGAGGCAGGAGCCAACUGAGGCUCUUUUCCUGAGCCCUGGCAUUUAGAAGUGUGGUUUAGAGAAGAAAAAAAGGAGAGUGGCAGUAAUGAGUAAAGUAGUAAAUGUUUCCCCAAGAGGAUGAUUCUUGGAGCAAAAAAGGAUC
ensembl:lncRNA